UACGGGGGGGGCAAGCGUUGUUCGGAAUUACUGGGCGUAAAGGGCUCGUAGGCGGCCAACUAAGUCGGAUGUGAAAUCCCCAGGCUUAACCUGGGAACUGCAUCCGAUACUGGAUGGCUUGAAUUCGGGAGAGGGAUGCAGAAUUCCAGGUGUAGCGGUGAAAUGCGUAGAGAUGUGGAGGAACACCGAUGGCGAAGGCAGCCUCCUGGGCCAGCACUGACGCUCAUGCACGAAAGCGUGGGGAGCAAACAGG
rnacentral:rRNA from 1 species